rnacentral:rRNA from 1 species
GGGCACGACACCGGAGAGGGAGCCUGAGAAACGGCUACCACAUCCAAGGAUGGCAGCAGGCGCGCAAAUUACCCAAUCCCGACACGGGGAGGUAGUGACAAUAAAUAACAAUACGGGGUUCUUUCGGAUCUCGUAAUUGGAAUGAGUACAAUUUAAAUCUCUUAACGAGGAACAAUUGGAGGGCAAGUCUGGUGCCAGCAGCCGCGGUAAUUCCAGCUCCAAUAGCGUAUAUUAAAGUUGUUGCAGUUAAAAAGCUCGUAGUUGAAUUUCGGGAUCGAAUUGUUGGUCGUGCUUCGGUACGCACUGGCAUUAUCGGUUCCUACCUUCUGAAGAACCGCGAUGUCAUUAAUUUGGUGUCGUGGGGAAUCAGGACUGUUACUUUGAAAAAAUUAGAGUGUUUAAAGCAGGCUUACGCUUGAAUACAUUAGCAUGGAAUAAUGAAAUAGGACGUUUGAUUCUAUUUUGUUGGUUUCUAGGAUCGACGUAAUGAUUAAUAGGGAUAGUUGGGGGCAUUAGUAUUCAAUUGUCAGAGGUGAAAUUCUUGGAUUUAUUGAAGACUAACUACUGCGAAGGCAUUUGCCAAGGAUGUUUUCAUUAAUCAAGAACGAAAGUUAGGGGAUCGAAGACGAUCAGAUACCGUCGUAGUCUUAACCAUAAACUAUGCCGACUAGGGAUCGGAUGAUGUUAAUUUUAUAAUGACUCAUUCGGCGCCUUACGGGAA